rnacentral:tRNA from 1 species
GGUGAGGUGGUGCAUUGGUGACACGGGGUAGCGCUCAGAAGUGUGGUUCGAUUCCGCACCCUCGCCA